rnacentral:lncRNA from 1 species
UUCUUCAAGUGGAGAAAGUUCCAGCUCAAGCGACAAAUUGGCAAAGAUGUGUUACAUAUCCAACAAAGGAAAGAAAAGGAAUGUGAAUCACUUUAAGCCUAAAUCUACUCAUGACUUAUCUUAUCCUAAAUUGCAAGAAUCUUUUAAAAAUAUACAAAGACAAGCCAUAUAAACUUUUAAAAAGGUUGUUUCAAACAAAAAAAAUUCUCUUAUUUGCAAGCUAAAAU